GAAUUCAGUUUUGUCAGAUCACACUCUGUCUUGGUCAGAACUGGAUGGUGUUAAAGGAGAAGAUAUGGAUGAUUCACUCUGACUCAAUACAGAAAUCCUUCUUGUGGUCUAUAGACGAUGCUAUCUUUCAAGUUCCAGGCCAAGAAUCAUCCACGAAGGUAAUUUCAUGAAUGGAAGUGGAGUUAAAUUACACCAAAGAAGAAUUUGUUCUGCUAUAUCAAAUUCAGCAAAUCCCAUUUAUUAUUUGGCAAGUAAUAA
rnacentral:lncRNA from 1 species